rnacentral:rRNA from 1 species
GCGUUAACGAACGAGACCUUGACCAUCUUUUUUGCUCGUGGAUGGCUUGCCAUUUAGUAGAACCGCAAAUAGAGGGACAGUCAGUUUUUAACUGGAGGAGGAGCGAGGCAAUAACAGGUCUGUGAUGCCCUUUGAUGUUCUGGGCUGCACGCGCGCUACACUGAUGGAGACAGCGAGUGGCCCCUUUCGGGGGGAGCCUGGCCAGAGAUGGCUGGGGAAACGAGAAACUCUAUCGUGCUGGGGAUCAGUCAUUGCAAUUAUUGACUGUGAACGAGGAAUUCCUAGUAGGUGCAAGUCAACAGCUUGCGUCGAUUAAGUCCCUGCCCUUUGUACACACCGCCCGUCGAUAAUACCGAUUGAAUGGAUG